GCAAGGGUAGCCAAGUGGCCAACGGCAUCAGACUGUAAAUCUGACGGGCACCGCCCUACGUAGGUUCGAAUCCUACCCCUUGCA
rnacentral:tRNA from 1 species